rnacentral:rRNA from 1 species
AUUGAACGCUGGCGGCAGGCCUAACACAUGCAAGUCGAACGGUAACAGGAAGAAGCUUGCUUCUUUGCUGACGAGUGGCGGACGGGUGAGUAAUGUCUGGGAAACUGCCUGAUGGAGGGGGAUAACUACUGGAAACGGUAGCUAAUACCGCAUAACGUUGCAAGACCAAAAAGGGGGACCUUCGGGCCUCUUGCCAUCGGAUGUGCCCAGAUGGGAUUAGCUAGUAGGUGGGGUAACGGCUCACCUAGGCGACGAUCCCUAGCUGGUCUGAGAGGAUGACCAGCCACACUGGAACUGAGACACGGUCCAGACUCCUACGGGAGGCAGCAGUGGGGAAUAUUGCACAAUGGGCGCAAGCCUGAUGCAGCCAUGCCGCGUGUAUGAAGAAGGCCUUCGGGUUGUAAAGUACUUUCAGCGGGGAGGAAGGGAGUAAAGUUAAUACCUUUGCUCAUUGACGUUACCCGCAGAAGAAGCACCGGCUAACUCCGUG